rnacentral:rRNA from 1 species
UACGUAGGGUGCAAGCGUUGUCCGGAAUUAUUGGGCGUAAAGAGCUCGUAGGCGGUUUGUUGCGUCGGCUGUGAAAAUCCCAGGGCUCAACCCUGGGCGUGCAGUGGAUACGGGCAGGCUGGAGGCAGGCAGGGGAGAACGGAAUUCCCGGUGUAGCGGUGAAAUGCGCAGAUAUCAGGAGGAACACCAAUGGCGAAGGCAGCUCGCUGGAACGGUACUGACGCUGAGGCGCGAAAGCGUGGGGAGCAAACAGG